UGGGGAAUAUUGGCACAAUGGGCGCAAGCCUGAUGCAGCCAUGCCGCGUGUGUGAAGAAGGCCUUCGGGUUGUAAAGCACUUUCAGCGAGGAGGAAGGUGGGUGAGCUUAAUACGCUCAUCAAUUGACGUUACUCGCAGAAGAAGCACCGGCUAACUCCGUGCCAGAGCCGCGGUAAUACGGAGGGUGCAAGCGUUAAUCGGAAUUACUGGGCGUAAAGCGCACGCAGCGGUUUGUUAAGUCAGAUGUGAAAUCCCCGGGCUCAACCUGGGAACUGCAUUUGAAACUGGCAGCUAGAGGUCUCGUAGAGGGGGGUAGAAUUCCAGGUGUAGCGGUGAAAUGCGUAGAGAUCUGGAGGAAUACCGGUGGCGAA
rnacentral:rRNA from 1 species